UACGUAGGGUGCGAGCGUUAAUCGGAAUUACUGGGCGUAAAGUGUGCGCAGGCGGCAGAGCAAGUCGAGUGUGAAAGCCCCGGGCUUAACUUGGGAAUUGCGCUCGAAACUACUUUGCUGGAGUGUGGCAGAGGAAGGUGGAAUUCCACGUGUAGCGGCGAAAUGCGCAGAUAUCAGGAGGAACACCGAUGGCGAAGGCAGGUCUCUGGGCAUUAACUGACGCUGAGGAGCGAAAGCAUGGGGAGCGAACAGG
rnacentral:rRNA from 1 species